UGGGAGCCGCCCCCACAUUCGCCGUCACAAGAUGGCGCUGACAUCCUGUGUUCUAAGUGGUAAACAAAUAAUCUGCGCAUGUGCCAAGGGUAUUUUACGACUACUUGUACUCUGCCUUUCCCGUGAACGUCAGCUCGGCCAUGGGCUGCAGCCAAUCAGGGAGUGAUGCGUCCUAGGCAAUGGUUAGUGUAUCUUUAAAAUA
rnacentral:lncRNA from 1 species